CUCUUUCUGCCACCAUAUAGGUUUUUUCCUUUAGCCUCUGCUUUAGCUUCACAAAGCGAACUGGAGAGCCUGUCCUGCCACCUUUCCUUUCUGACAGCCUAUGUAAGUGUUUAGGCUUUACUGGUCAUAUUUUCCUUCUUGCUUGGAAAGUGGACUGAGGAGGUGCCAUUAUCUCCCUGUAGGUCUCUCUGCUGCUUUUGAGCUACUUUCUAUUUUAGGUUAUUCAGCUGACAAACGCAUAGUGAAACUUACCUCUUGUCACCCGAGAAAUGGGGAUAAUCCCUACCUGAGAUUACCCAAACCAGCAAGAGUGUGUUGGUUUGCAGGAAACAGAUGAAUUUAGUUCAGUGUUGCUUACGAGGAGGUUUUUAAACGUGGGACUAAGGGGGGGGAUAUGUGACAUAAGUUGCACCAGCAAGCACUGCAAAUGCUGCUGAAUUUCAGCUUGAAAUAUAACUGUUCCCUCCUGUGCAAAGACUUGUGCAAGUUCAUUCAAGCUUCACUAUUGGUAAGUCCUAUCAGGGCCUUUCCUUUUCAUACCCAAAUUUGACAAGCAUCAACCACCAGAAAGCUCAAGGCAGUGCCUGAGAGCUCAGACAUGGAAUUUUCUUUGACUGCACUGGGUAUUUCUUGCUGCUGAAAGAUAAAAUCUCAGUUCCAUAUGCUUUUGAAACAUUGGGAUAUUUUACAUUUGGAUCUGCACUCAGAGUCAAUGGAUGUGCCUGCCAGUGAUACUUACUGUUGUUAUUUAUUUCAAUAGGGCUAUUAAAAUAGUGAGUAGUUCUGUGUCUGAAGUCUCUGCUCCUGUGAACUGUAUUUUGUGCAUUUGCCAAGUUAGGAAUCUGUAAACUAGACCUUGGGAUGAAAAAAAAGAUGAUACAAACUUUUGCUUUGAGUAUGGACGAUCUGAACCUUUGUACAGACUCAGAGGAAUGUGGUUAUUAACAACAAAUACCCUCUCAAUUUUUCCUCUUCUCCAAAGUAACUGGUCCAUACAUGAGCUCAGUUUUUGUGGUAACCCUUAGGGUGAGUGCAAACAUCAGAGCUCUCAUGAAAAGCAUUCGAUAUACUUUAUGGUCAGAGAGGGGGAAGAGAAGUAAGCCUGGAGCGCCUGCAGACCUGCAAUACCUAGGAAAGUGUUCCCAGUUCCCUCUAGACCUGUAGGCAGACUGGGUUUCUCCAAGCUCUUCAAAACUUGUCUGUGAAGGAUUACUUCCCAGAAUAUGUCCUCAAGAAGCUGCCUGGCCAGGCUGGGAUGAAGGUGGCAGUGGAGCAGGAGUGAUCCCCUUUGGAUUUCCCCAGAUUAGACCGCGGAGUGUACAGACAGGAAGCUGAAGUAUUGAGCGCCUGACCAGAGCUUCCUCCUGUGCAAGAGUGGGGGUUUCUCCAACUUGAAUCUUUAGCUCUACAAGCACAGUCCGAGUCUUGAAGUCCAAGGGAUAAAGAGCACCCAAAUCUUUCAGCUGGGUCCUCCGAGCGUGGAGAAUGGAGUACUGCACUUAAGCCCUGCUUGCAAGGUCAGCAAAACAGUUCUCACCUCUCCCUGCUGCUGCUUACCUUCCUGGCUCCUUAUCAAGCAGGGAAUCAGAAAGGGACUUUCCAGAGCUAUAAACAUGUGAGCUGAAGAGAUGGAAUGAACCCUUAUGCAAAUGAGUCUUGAUUCCCUUCCCUUUAUAAAGAUAAAAAGUUUUUGAGAGAGCAACGGCUCCUCCAGAAUGUGGGUGUCCGGAGUUAUUGCCUCGGACUGGCUGGAUCUCUCUGUGCUAUCUGUCUGUCUGUCCGCCUUUCUUUCUGCUUGUCUGUCUUUCCAUUGUAGAGAACAAAGCGGAGUGAUGUAAAAUAGAAAAUGAGACAAGCAAACCUUUGGUGAUUGAAGAGGAGGAAGGAAAAUGAAAGAGAAAAAGCUGAAGAGUGGGAAAAAGAUAAAAUAAAAUGAAUUUUGGGGAUUCCACUGUGAGUAAGAGCUGAAAAAAAAGUAAGCUGAUUUAUUACAUGUUUAUCUUCUGCCUGCGAGUCAGUGUGCCUUGUAUAUGCGAGGGGUGAACUGCACAUUAAAGAUUGAAUCAAAAAGCCAAAUUCUUCCUCAAUUCCUCCAGCUUUAAACGAGCAUAAUUCUGACAGCUCCGAUGGAUUUACAUUUUGUAAACAGCAGCGGAAUCAAGAUCAAGUCCUUUAAGUCAUUUUGAGUCAUAUUUAUGCUGAAGUUAUGAGAAAUUUAGAAUGACUUUUAAAUAACGUUUGUCAGGGAAGCUGCACAUUUUCUAACGCUUCUCUUCACUGGGCAGGAAUUUUGCUAUGGUCAUUGCAGUGUUGUUAUGACUUUAUUCUGAAUCCAAUGGCAGUACAGAAAGAAGGGGUGAUGUUAUCGUUAUGUGCAUCCAUAUUUUCCUUGCAUUAUGACUUAUGUAUAUUCAUUUUUAUUUUAAAUGUGUAUUUUAACAACCGUUUAAACAGGGAGAUGGCAUGAGCUAGUUGAUGUAAGUAUUUUUUUUUCUCUCCAUCAAAUGCCACUGAUUUUGAAAAUGCAGUGUUUGACUGCAGCCGGAGGGUUUAGCUGGCUACACCUUGCUUUCUUUCACAUUAAUCCUUUACUCUUUUGCAGGUUUAUUUCUUCCUUUGCGUGCUCUGAGCUUAUCUGGGCAUCCAAAAGUUUGUUUUAUAGUAUGGAAGAAGAGGGACAGAGGAAGCACCGCAGGUUUUCUUGAUGAAAUUUCCAAGCUUUUGCAGGUGUGGAGACGGGCUUCUGGAGCCUGCAGAAUAAGGCAGCUCCCAUCCCUCUCUUUCUCCACCUAAUCAGACAGUUUCUCUUACUCUUCCUUUUUCUGAACAGUUUGUUCGCUAAAAAAUGCUGUUUCGAAUGAACUGAAAUUAUUGACAGAGCUGAAUGGAGUGGUGCAAAUAGUACUGGGUAAACCAUCAAAAAAAUAUUUUGACAUUUGUAGAAUUAAAUCCUAAUUCUUUCUUUGAAAGUGCUUUUUUUCAUUUUCAUGUUCUUCUUAUCGUUUUUAUGCAGCAAUAAUGACAGCAAAGAAGAAACGAAGUAUUUUGUUUUAGGCCAAGAAAUACGUUCUAGUGCAGCUCAAAUUAUUUGCUUAUUUAUUUAUUGUUCAGAAAAGAACAAAAGUCACUCCAGGUUCCACCAAAUGGCAUUUUCCUUUUCCUUUCUUUCUUCUUUUUUUUUUUUUGAUUAGUAGAGGAAAACAUGGCUAAUUGCCACAGCCAAAAGUCCAUACCAUUGUCAGGACCAGCUGUAUUUCAGCUAUGUUAAUCUGGCAGAAUACUGAGCAUUCAUUUUCUGUGGGAAAUGAUGAUUAAAAAAGGGAAUUAUUUUUGAUAAGAAAAACGUACCCUUUUCUGUGCUUUUAUUGGUCAGAUUAAAUAUAUAAUCCACCUUUUCCCAUAAUCAGGGAAAGAAAAAAAAAAAAAAAAGGAGGAGAAAAGUCAGCUUUCAUUAUUGAAAUAGAUUUUCUGGAAGAUUUUUGACCCAAUUCCCUAACAUGAAAGGCUGCAGCUACUCUCUCCUGCAGUGUUUCAGAUGCCUGUGCUCCAUCGCAGCUUCCAUUGGGGCUGAGCGCUUCCCUUGGGCAGCAGAGCCUGGAGCUCCUGGAGCCAUGGGAUGAGGCUGCGGUGGGGACUCUUUGGCAGGACAGAGGUUUCAAGUGUGUCAGUGACUGCCUGUGGUCUUUGUGGGGGGAUUCAGUAAGGAAAAGUAUGGAAAACAGAGAGCUGCAGAAAACUAUUUCAAAGCUUGGAUUCUGUAGUGCAUGCUGGAUAGCCAAGUCCUCACCGGCAACUUGAGCAAUGUCAUGUCAAAAGUCUGUGUAGAAAUCAAAGAAUGUCUUUACUUUUCACUGUAAUCAUUUGUAGCAGUUAAUACAUUUGAUUAAAUGUUCGAGAGUUGGUCAUGUUGAAUCUGAAUGGCACCUAGAACUAUUUUCUUUAAAAUCAGCCCCGGUGAGCUCAAGGGGAGCCAGAUUUAACAUCGUGGUGAGCGUAUCCUGGUGGAAGGCAGGCUGGCUCCCCGCAGGCUGUCUGCAUCAGCGCUUCUCAGCCUUCUCUAAUGGGGCCUUCUUGGAAAAGCCGUGGCUGGACCAUUUCCCACGCACAACAAGGAGCCGUCUGCACCUGCAGGCGCUCACUGGCAGCAUCCAGAGAGCGGCUCCCGGCUCCGUCUGCCAGCACUGGUGCUUCUCUGCCAAAUGGAGCAGACAUGUGGUUUGUAUCUUCUAAAUGAGCUCGUGCAUAGAGCAGGUUCUGGCGUCCGACAGCAAACAGUGGGCUGCAGCCCACGGGCUGUGUAACACCCAUCCAGCUCCCGGCGCUGUCACGCCUGCACCUGGUCAUGAGCCAGAGCUCUCGGGCUGUUGCAUUCGCUGCUGUGUGCCGGUCUCUGCAUAACUACGGCCAGUUUGCACUGCACUUGAGCUGUUUCAUUAUUCUAAUUUUAAUUGUAGUUGAUUUCAGUGAAUUAAUGUUGAAAUGGGCUAUCUAUGAACUGAAAGUGUGCUUGCUCUUCACAGCUUAUUUUCAGUAGCUGCAGUAUUGUUAGAGUAUAAAUACAGCCAUCUCUUCUGGAAUCGUAGGAUCACUGGAGUUUGAAGGGAUGUUUAAAGGUCUUUGAUUCCAAUUCCCCUUUCCAGAUUUCAACUCCAGCUUUUAUAUUUCAAGUAUUUAGAUACUGAACCUGUCUGAAGAAAAAAUAUCUCCGGCUUCUAAUGGAUUUCUAACAUUACAAUUGUUUAUUAUAAUAAAUAAUUGAAUAAUAAUAGCCUAAUAUAAAAAAGAAUGAAAUCCUUGCUGAGUGAUCAUGGCAUUCCUUUUUUAAAUAAUGCAAUAAUUACAAAAACAUUUUAGUUAAUUAAAACUUUAAGUUAAUGUUUGCCUGUUUUUCAACUAUUUAUGCAGAGCCUAAUCAUUUUGGGUUAGUGAUACAGAGCACAGCAGCUGCACAGGGACAAAGACUUGUAAGUACCUGUGCCAUUGCCACAGAUGGAACAAUGCCAGUUCUUUUGAGUUCUUAAAAAUGUGGAAAUUGAAAGGGAGCAAGGAAUGGCCAUCUACUCUCUCCUGUUUGCUUUACCCACCUCUCCCUAUGUUGCUGGUUGUUUAGAUUGUAUCUGACAUGUAUGGCCGGACCAGACUUUUCUGGUGCUUGGUUCCACUAUGUGCAUCAGGAACUGGUUUGGGUGAGCAGUCCAUAGUGCCACGUGUUGGGACGCAGCACGUGCCUUGCACCCAGCAUCUGCAGCACAUGCCUGGUUGGAUAUCUGAGCCAAGGGAGGAAGCGCUGCUGGAUCUGGGACCGGCUCCAUACACGAGACUUGGAGAGUCACUGCCACAGCAGGGCUGGGCUGCAGACAGAUAUCUUACUUUACAUCAGCAAAGAUCUCCUUGCACCUGGAGGAAAGCCAAGCACCGGGGAGAGAGAGCAGAGGAUGAGAUACUGCUGCACAUCAGAACGGCCUUGAAACGAAUGUCGUGUAUCCUCAGCUUUGAGAACUGAAUUCCAUGGGUUGUAAUUGAAUCCUUUGUCAGACCCAUGGGGCUCAGUUCUUCAGCUUGGAUAUUUCUGUCUUCACAUACACGGGAGAUCAAAGAAGCACUUGAUCAUGCGCUGACUCUUCCGGAUUCUGAUAGCAGCAAAUAGGAAAGAGAAAGAAUAACUGAUGUGAAUCACUCUGACAGGGAGGUUUCACUGCAAAGACCAGGCUCUCUCAUGUCGAGUAGCUGCGCAGUGAUUGAACCUCUCCGUGGCUGAUAGUCUGUCCCUGCAUUGCUGCUCGCUGGUUAAUUCAACUCUCCUCUCAGUUUUAUCGAAGUUACAUAUCAAGUGCUGAGAUGAUGCUGACUGACUUAUGCUUCCCAAAAAUUGUGUGGUGCUGCUGAAUGUGGCUCUGCUCCCACAUGGGACCAGCAACACCCCAGCCCUGCCAAGUCUACCCACUGUUGGUCUGCUGCAGCCUCCUGUCUGGGAUCACUGCUGCACAGCUACUGUUUGCUCUUUUUUGGCCCCCUUGAGGUGGACCCAUUCAAGUUGUGGGCUGAAAAAGUUUGUGUUUCUUCCUUGGAAGAUCUGUGUUAAAGUUUAUUUUCUUUCAGGCGUCAGGAAAAUAAAAUUUAUGGUCUUCAAACAUGUAAAGAGGUAUAAUUACCAACGAGAUUUCUACUUCAUUCCUGCAAUAAUAACCCUUCCUAAAUUACAUUUUUCAAACUCAGUAAAAUGGAUCAGUCACUGAUCUCAUCCCUGUGGUGCAAUGCUGUUAAAAGCACAGGAAUAUUAAAAUCCCACAGGUGCAGGAGGAGCGUGUUCAGCUAAGUAGUUUAAAGCUGCUGUGUGCCUUUUAUUCUGAAAAUGUAUUUACACUAAAAAUAAUCAGAUGUAAUCACUGUUGCCUGUGGAUACAGAUGUACCUUUGUACCGAUGUGCUUUUCAUAUAAAUUUUAUUCCAGGGUUUGAAGGGUUUCUUUGUGGCUGUCUGAAACAUAUCAUGCUGCCCAGUUGUGAGACGACGGAUCUUGGAAGGACUCACCAGUCCCACCAGCUCCUGCUGGGAGAUAUCCAUUAAACAAGAAGAAGGAGAAACAUACACAAACGAAAGCGAAAUUCUGAAGUUUCAUUUCUGCUGUACACCCUGUCAAAGAGAGGGAAUUAAAUUGGAGGUGAGAGUUAGCAAAAUCUGCAAAAGAAGAGAGUGAGGUAGCAGCUGCACAGAAUGCCCGAGGCGGGCAUCUGCUGGCAGGGCUGCAGCAGCCACCUCUGGGGCAAAGUCCAGCCUGCAGGCACUGAGGCAGCACAGGGGAUGUGUGUGUGAUGGCAGCCUCACAAGGCCACGGAUGAAAUCAAGAUAGCCUUUGGUACGGCAGUUUUGCAGUCCUAUCCCUAAAGCACAGUGUUUGUAACGCUGGUUUUGCUCAGCAAUUUACCAUAAGUUGUGAACUAACAAUAGUACUGCUGGUGUCUAGCUGGAAGUACUGGAAUUUCUAGUCAGCUCUUAAAUCCAGCCUGCCCUCCAGCCCUCUGUGCUGACCACUCUGUGUGCUCUUCCUUUGCUGUGGGCUCCUGUAGUCCUUUUGAUCCUCCCUUGCCCAACAUGACACAGCAUUCUCUUUCUGGAUACUCCUGGGAUCUUUUCUUUAAACCGCCCGGUUAAUCUUUCAAGAGCACUCCUGCAGAAUUAAAAUUAUUUUUAACACGUGGCUUCAAACCAACGUGCCUUCUGCCUGCCUACCUGCACAGCCUUGCAGUACACACACAGACCCCUCUGCAGUCUGAGCCAGGCAAUGCUCAGGCACCCCAGCAUGCCCAGGACCUGUGCUGCGAUUCCCAGUGUGCCCCCAGGUAUGCGAAGUGCUGGUUGAUAUGAUACCCAAAUUCUCUCAGCUUCUCCUGUAUCCAGGCUUAUGAAACUGACCUCUUUAAUUCAGGCCUCCUCCUGUUUAAUUUCAGAGUGAAAUGUUGAUUUGUCAUUGUAAUUUUUUUUUUCUCUUUACAGAGUCAUUCAGGUGAAUUCAGCUGUAUUCGUUGCUGCUGUAAACUUGAAACUCAAUUUUGGGCCAAGUAAAGCAUUUGCUAGAAAAUAUUACCCCUCUCUCUAUCUUUUUCUAGCUGAUUUAUGCCACAUUCUGGUGCUUAUUCACAGAUCUCAGCCUGUGCAUUUUGUUCAGGUAAAGCAAUGGGCUGAGUCCUCCUGGCACAGCUGUGGCAGAGCAGCACAACCACCCACAUUUUACAGAUAAAUAAGCUGAGUCCUGACCCUUAGAAUGGGACAACAACCCUGAGUUCCACUGAGUGCCAGCUGUAUUUCAGUUCUGGCUUUCUGCUUUUCAUUCCCAACAAAUAAAUGACAACAAGCACCUCCUUUGGCUGCUGGCAGGAGCGUGCCCCAGAGUCCCACUGAGCCUCUCCUCCCUUGGCUGAGGGUCUAUCCCCAUUUGCUGAUCAACCACUGCUCCCCUUUGCUGCCUCCCACACCAUGAACAGCCUCUGCCUUCCUUCUUGAUACUGUGCGUGCCUUGCCUGGUGGAUGCUGGUGGGAGAAGGGUGAGUGCUGGCUGCAGACCGGUGUUUCUGCUCAGCAAAUGAUCUCAGGCCCUUUCAAAAGAGUGACUGCACAUCGCACACUGCUCUGCAGAAAGCUCUGUGCUUGCUACCCUUUGGUACCCCAAGACAAGCUAGCUGCUGCCAAGUACAGCUCAUCCUUUUUUGGCUAGCAGCCCUUUUUGCUUCCAGGAAAAUGAUGAGUUUAUGUCAGGUUCAGUAAUCCUGAUGUCUGCACAGCUGAGAGAAAUAGCGCUUUAAUGUGUGCAUGACUGUGCAUGUGUAUAUAUGGAAACUACAGCUUUGACAAGCCUCUCGUCUGCCUUGGGAAGGAAACAGCAGGGCUUGAAAGCCAUGGAGUCGCAAUGCGCUGGCUAAGGUCAGCAGCUUUCAGUGACUCACAAUCUGUUUUCCUGGCAGCCCCACCAUACAGCAGGUUGUGCCCUUUUUAUCUUCUGUUUCUUUAUUUUUUUUAAAAAAGAAAGGCCUACAUAAGAAAAGCUGCUGGCUCCAGACAGCCUGGAAGUCCUCACCCUUUGACAGCAUGCAUGUUCUCAAGUACAGAAAGCUCUGCUCACUGGUAUCUCUACCAGCCUAUUUUUGCACUGGUAAGGAGAUGCCCUUUCAGUUUACAUUGGAUUGAUGUUACUCUGAAAAAUAUUUGCUAGGCUGUCUCUCUGGUAGCCAUCCUUGCUUUCCAUUUUCUGUAUGCUUGCAGCCGAGCUGGGGAGGAGCAAUGGGCACAGGCAGCUGAAAGCUGCUAGGGCACCGAGAUGCCUCCGGCUGCCAUUAAGUGCCUGGUUUCGAGCAAGAGGACAGAUUUGUUUCACUUUUUCUUCCUUUUCUUUGCUAAAAAUACAAUUGACACUGCCUCAGCAUUUACAGAUAAUACAUGGAUUGGUCAAAUAAUGUAAUUUGUUAAAAGAACCCAAAGAGAUAGAAUUUUUGACUUCCACUUCUACUAACUUUUUUCCCCCAAACUUUUUAAAACUCUCCUUACCGUCGUUUUUCUUUCUUUCAUAUUCCCAACAUUUCAUUGUCAGCUGCCUCCUAUACACACCGGAACAAGCACAGGUAAUCACUGGGAGAGGCAGCUACUUCAUUUCGAGACAAGAAGGAAACUUCUGAAUCAGAUUUGAAAUAAACAUAAGCUGUGCUACAGAUUUGUCUCUACAGAUUCCUCUGGUUGCUUUAACCCUUGAGAGCCCACAGCCUGGGGCACUUCCCCACUGCCUGCUCCUCCCCGGCCUCCCGCCCUUGCUAGCAGAUGGCCGUCUGCAAUGGCAGGUGGAAGGGCACAGCCAUGUUUGGAUGGGGCUGGCCGGGCUGGAGCAUUGCCAGCCUUUGCCUUUCCGCAGUAAAUAACCCAGUUCUUGAAUAAUUAAAGCCACUUUACAUCAAGGGUGAUCCAUAAAGGAAGUCAUUUUGCAUGUGAAAAGCUGUGAAGAGUGGAAGACAUCGGGGUAUCGCAGUCAGCAGAGAGCAUCUGAGAUUGGUUAUAGCACGAUUUUUAUUCCAUUUGAUGUAGAAAUUGACCAGUCCUACAACAGCUGCAGUGAGAGGAGAUGGUGACAUCCCCGCGCAUCCCUUCCCCUGUGUCAGACCUUCAGAGAAUCCACCACCAGCUGAUGGUGGCUUCAGGCACAGCUUCACCAUUUUGGCUCUGGAUGUGUUUUAAUAUCAGUCUGGGGGGAGCAGUGGAUGUUAGAUGUAAAAUUCCCCUUAAAAAGCAGUGGUAGGUAAUUAUUUUCUGUUUCUGCAGAGGAGGUUGUACGUGUACAUACAGUAGUUUUCCUUUUGGUGAGUAUGACUAACAGUGACCCAUGCAGGAGGGCAUCUGCGCCUUCCGAUUAACCAGAGGGGGAGAGCAAAGGGGAGCUGCACUCAUGCAGAUAUAGCCCGUAAAGCUUCUGUGUAGCGCAGUAACAUCUUUUGCACUAGAAUUUUCAGAGAGGCUUAAAUUGUCACGGUGAAAGGUAGAAGUUCCCAGGAGCUUGUGUUGUGCUUUUCCACCCUUGUCCUUGGGCAUAGCUUAAAGGCUCCUGGUAAGGAGCAGCCCUGGUGCUGUGAGUGCCUGGGAGCUGGCUGUGCUCCUCCAGAGGAAGCACCCAUCUGCCAGCUGCUAGUCCCAGGGCUCAAACAGCUCUCACAAUGGUCUAACAUGAAGCUAAGCCUCUUAUGUUUUGUAACCAUGCAGCUGGAAGCAAACUUAUAUAUGCAAAUUGUACAUCAGUAAACAGUGACAAAUGUGACCUGAUUCCUCUGGCAUUAGGCAUUUAUAUUGGUAUCUUUUGUGCUUUGGAAAUACAAAAUGGGUAUGGGAAAAUAAAUUAGAGAGUGUUGGGAGUUUUGUCACCAGAGGUACUUAUCUUUUUUCUUUUUAAAGGAAGGAACCUUCAUUUGUGCUGCAAGUUGAGAGACACUGGCCUCAGAAAGCCAUUGGAUGUUAUUGGCUUGCUUCCUGCAGUCUGUGCUGCUAUAAUACCAUUCAAACAAGGAUAAAACUCAUGAGUGCCUGGUUCAGCAAGUCAUUGUGUAGCUCCCUCUAUGGGCCCCCGUGUACCACUCUGCCCAUUCGUCUCAAAGCACCUACUGACACUCAGACAUGGAGCUACAGGCAGACCCUUGCUGGUACUCUUGCUAUCAGGCCAAAGGCAUUUAUGGCCCCAGAUGUCUGACACAGUGAUUGAAACGGGCAUUCCUCAUGUCAGAGCUAUGCUGCAAGAAAACUAUUGCAGUCCCUUCGCCUCCCUUGGGGUCCCUUCCAACCCAAGCCAUUCUAUGAUACAGUGAUUCUACGACCAUCUUUCCACCAUAAAUAAAAUAUUAGUGUAGCAUAGCAGGCUGCAGAUAUGCUUUGCACGAGAUUGUAGAAUGGAAAUAUAUUGCAGAUGGUAUUUACUUAAAAGACAAGUAAAUUUUUAUUUCUGUCUCUGCAAGGACAAAAACUAAUUAAAAGCCAGGCAGAGUGUUUUCUUCUUCACUUGGAACAUUACAAUAAGUGGUAACAUCUGUGUUGCACAAUUUAUUAUUUGUGCGUGCAAUGUUGUAAAAUAUACUUUCCCAACAUUACAAGCUGGUGUACUAAUUUACAUUAAAAUGCUAAUUUAAUUUGGAGUAGAAGAACUCAAUAUCAUUUCUUGUCUUCAAAGUGUCUUUCUCAUCCCAUUCCAGCACUUCAAGGAAACUGUUCUAGAGUGAGUUCAGGGAGUCCUCUCCCCACAUACAGUGGUCUGUUAAAUGCAGGAUGCAACUUCAGCUGAACUCAACACUGGGACACUGGAGCUGGAAAAAUGCCCUGUAAGUGUUCCUUGAAUCAAGAAGAUUUGAGCCAAAUGAGACUGCAGAGUCUCGUAGUCAUUGCUCUGAGUUGCACAGGCGAUGAGAUGGUGCACCUUGCAGUACAUAGUGGGGAUAGUGACUCAGGAAGUAAUGCUCCUGGUAUAACAUAAUACAUUAUCACAGCUUUUCAUCCAGCAGCCACCUAAUGCAGAACACAGCGGGAGUCCUCUUUACAAGGACAAAAAGGAGUGCUCACUGCCAUGCAAGCGCCCAACUUUACUCAUUUUACUUCUGCACUGGUGUUCCAUUCAGCUUUUCUCCCCUUCUCCACUUAUUGUCCCCAUCAACCAAACCCUUAAUAGACCCCUCCAAGUCCAUCCAUCCUGUGUUAAAUCCCAGGGGAGGCUGUGCCCUCCUGAGAGGUGCAGUGCUUCCAGGAGACACGUAGUCCUGUGCCUCAACGUAUGUGGGCGGGAAGGUAAAGAGACACAGGAGCUGGAGAAGCUGCUUCUCCCCUAGUGUACGAUAUGAGCUCAGCCCAUUCCCCCUAUGACUCACACUGUUAGGACACUAAUUAAGCAGAGGAAUAUCUCUGUAUGGAUUAUAAAUAGCCUGAGGGAGUACAUAGGGUAAAUCAAAGGAAGACCUUGAUCACUGUCAUUGGCAGCUUAAAUCAGGCAGUGUGACUUUGCACAGGGGUGAAUCAAACAGGAGUGUGGGAAUUGCUGCUCCUUCUCCUGAGCACUUGGCUGGAGGUUCUCCUUUGCCACUGUCUUAGCUGACUGCAGCUCCGGCCCGGCAUUGAUAACACAAUAUCAGCAUGUUAGCAGACGUACUGUGAAUAAGCUUGUGGGCAAGAACCUUCAGAUCAUGUGUGUUUAAUCUUGAGGUGAUUGAUUUAGCCCGUGUACAAGGGUAGCCUUUUCUACCGCUGCAGCCAAGUUUGUUGGGGACUGUGAAUUGAUCUGAGCAAUAGAUGCUACCAGUAGGGCCGUGCUGUUAGCGAGCAGAAGUGGAGACACAUCAAUAGCGGGUCUCUUCUGGAAAGAGCCAUUAACCCCCCGGCCGCUGUUAGCCUGGAGAUAUUCAGCGAGGAUUUGUCUCUUUCUCUGUGCUUUUAACCUUAGCUGCGAGCUGUUCCUUCAGCUUUCAGAGCUGAUUGCAUCCCCAAUUCUACUUAAGCUGGUGGAAUAUCUUUGUGCAGCCCAUUACUGCCACCAGUCAUCUAAAUUACAUAAUUUGCAUUGAUUUGGUUAAUACAAAGAGUUUUCAUCCAUUUAGAAUGGGAAGUGAUUUUCUGUUGCUGUUGUUCACACAACCAUUGCAUACAAAGGAAUGUCAGGUCUUCUGCCUUCCAGAUACCUCCAUUCCCACCGCAAGGCUGGGUGUCAGUGUGGCACAUCAGAUCACAGGAAGGUAUGGGACACCUCCACACGUUCCUUGUGUUUCCUACUGACAGACAACCAUGAUCACUAGAGAAAAAUUAAGCUGAGACUCAUCAUCUCAUCAGCAUAUGGGCUGCAAAGUAUUAAUAGAACAAAUCAAACACUCUCCCUCCAAAGUAGGGUCCUUUGGCCCCCGCGAGGAACUGCCCCUCUGAUGAAGAAACCCAGACUUCCAUUUGGGUUACAGCUUCGCUUUAGCAUCAAGUUGAAAAUCCCAUUCUAUUGUCACAGUGAACAAGGGCUGAAGUAAGGAAAGGAAAGAUUGCUUUUUUUAAAAAAAAAAAGUUGGUUUUUAUUACAGCUGGAAGGUGGAACUGAAAACUCUGGAAAGCCACAUCAAGCUCCAUGUAGUCAGAUUCCCUCAGUGAUUAAUUAAUCAGAAAAUAAAUCAAAUAAACUGUGUUUUUCUCUGUUU